UACGUAGGGGGCUAGCGUUGUCCGGAAUCAUUGGGCGUAAAGCGCGUGUAGGCGGUUCGGUAAGUCCGCUGUGAAAGUCGGGGGCUCAACCCUCGAAUGCCGGUGGAUACUGUCGGACUAGAGUACGGAAGAGGCGAGUGGAAUUCCUGGUGUAGCGGUGAAAUGCGUAGAUAUUGGGAGGAACACCGGUGGCGAAGGCGGGUCUCUGGGACGUGACUGACGCUGAGACGCGAAAGCGUGGGGAGCAAACAGG
rnacentral:rRNA from 1 species